AGAACGAACGCUGGCGGCGUGGAUUAGGCAUGCAAGUCGAACGUGAAGGGGGCUUCGGCCCUGAGUAAAGUGGCAAACGGGUGAGUAACGCGUGGAGAACCUGCCCGGAAGCGGGGGAUAACACUUCUAACGAGGUGCUAAUACCGCAUGUGUCUGCGUGAGCGCGUGCUCGCGCAGGUAAACGUGGCCUCUGCUCGCAAGCUACGGCUUCCGGAUGGCUCUGCGUCCCAUUAGCUAGUUGGUGGGGUAACGGCUCACCAAGGCGACGAUGGGU
rnacentral:rRNA from 1 species